ensembl:lncRNA
UAUUUUCUCAUAUUAUCUUCUUCAUUCCCAAUAUUCUUAAAGCUAAUAUGAAAUAUUUUUGAAAAAAAUCUACAAAAGCAAAGACUCUCUGAAAAAUUACAUUUGUAAUCUGGAUAUAAUUUAAAGAGUUAGUCUUGAGCAACAUGACUGAGGCUAUGAUACUUCUCAGCCCCUGCAAAGGGGGAGGAACUCUCUAAAGUUCUAAAACUGAAGAGUUGUCAGUGACCUCAUCUAUUAUGAAAAUCACUGAAGACUCUGAUGGGGACCACAGGGGAAGAGUCCAGAAGCAUUGGUCAACCAGAGCUUAUUCCUGGAACCAAAUUCAGGAAAAUGGAUACGCGCCCUCACCCACUGCACUCUGGGAAGAACAAACUCCUGGAUUACAAAUAUAGACAACUGGAUUUUUCUGGGUCGGCCCUGGUGAAUACCACCUGCCAAAGAUUGCUGUGGAAACAGAUUUUGACCCCCAGCCAAAAUGUUGGCCCCAUGAAGUUAAAUACCCAAAAGUGGAAUUGCUGAGUUGUAUGGUGGUGCAGUGGUAAAGAGUCUGCCUGCCAAUGUGGAAGAUGCUGGAAAUGUGAAUAGGAUCCAUGUAUCAGGACAAUCUCCUGGACUAGGAAAUUGGAGCCCACUCAAAUAUUUUUGCCUGGAAAAUUCCAAGGACAGAGGAGCCUGGUGGGCUACAGUCCAUGGGGUUGCAAAGAGCUGGACACAACUGGGUGACUGAGCACACAGCACACAGGGUACUCUUAUUCUUAACUUUUUUGAUGAAUCUCCAUACUGCUUUCCGUCAUGGCUGCAUCAAUUUACAUUUCCACCAAUAGUGCACAAGUGUUCUCUUUUCUCCACAUCCUCACCAACACUUGUUAUUUUUUGUCUUUUAGAUGAUAGCCAUUCUGACAAAUAUG